rnacentral:rRNA from 1 species
UUAGAUCGGAAGCGAGAAUGUUGACAUGAGUAGCGACAAACAGGGUGAGAGACCCUGUCGCCGAAAGUCCAAGGGUUCCUGCUUAAAGCUAAUCUGAGCAGGGUAAGCCGGCCCCUAAGGCGAGGCCGAAAGGCGUAGUCGAUGGGAACCAGGUUAAUAUUCCUGGGCCAGGAGGAUGUGACGGAUCUCGACGGUAGUUUGCCCUUAUCGGAUUGGGUGAGCUGCUUAGAGGUUCCUGGAAAUAGCCCUCCACAAGGCCGUACCCCAAACCGACACAGGUGGACUGGUAGAGAAUACCAAGGCGCUUGAGAGAACCACAUCAAAGGAACUCGGCAAAAUGCUCCCGUAAGUUCGCGAGAAGGGAGCCCCGUCUGUAGGCAACUAUGGGCGGGGGGCACAAACCAGGGGGUGGCGACUGUUUACUUAAAACACAGGGCUGUGCGAAGCCGUAAGGCGACGUAUACAGUCUGACGCCUGCCCGGUGCUGGAAGGUUAAAAGGAGGGGUGCAAGCUCUGAAUUGAAGCCCAGUAAACGGCGGCCGUAACAAUAACGGUCCUAAGGUAGCGAAAUUCCUUGUCGGGUAAGUUCCGACCUGCACGAAUGGCGUAACGAUCUCCCCGCUGUCUCUGAUGUGGACUCAGCGAAAUUGAACUGUGUGUCAAGAUGCACACUUCCCGCGGUUAGACGGAAAGACCCCAUGAACCUUUACUCCAGCUUUGCACUGGCAUCAGGAUUGUGAUGUGCAGGAUAGGUGGUAGGCAUCGAAGCAGAGACGCCAGUUUCUGUGGAGCCUCCCUUGAGAUACCACCCUUCGCACUCUUGAUGUCUAACCGCGGCCCGUUAUCCGGGUCCGGGACCAUGCAUGGUGGGGAGUUUGACUGGGGCGGUCGCCUCCCAAACAGUAACGGAGGCGCGCGAAGGUUGGCUCAGAGCGGUCGGAAAUCGCUCGUUGAGUGCAAUGGCAGAAGCCAGCCUGACUGCAAGACUGACAAGUCGAGCAGAGACGAAAGUCGGCCAUAGUGAUCCGGUGGUCCCAAGUGGGAGGGCCAUCGCUCAACGGAUAAAAGGUACUCUGGGGAUAACAGGCUGAUGAUGCCCAAGAGUCCAUAUCGACGGCAUCGUUUGGCACCUCGAUGUCGGCUCAUCUCAUCCUGGGGCUGGAGCAGGUCCCAAGGGUAUGGCUGUUUGCCAUUUAAAGAGGUACGUGAGCUGGGUUUAGAACGUCGUGAGACAGUUCGGUCCCUAUCUGCCGUGGGUGUAGGAGACUUGAGAAGAGUUGCCCCUAGUACGAGAGGACCGGGGUGAACGUUCCACUGGUGGACCAGUUGUCGUGCCAACGGCAGUGCUGGGUAGCUAUGAACGGACAGGAUAACCGCUGAAGGCAUCUAAGCGGGAAGCCCCCUUCAAAACAAGGUCUCCCUUGAGAGCCGUGGAAGACCACCACGUCGAUAGGCCAGAGGUGUAAGUGCAGCAAUGCAUUCAGCUGACUGGUACU